rnacentral:rRNA from 1 species
UGCGUAGGUCCCGAGCGUUGUCCGGAUUUAUUGGGCGUAAAGCGAGCGCAGGUGGUUUAUUAAGUCUGGUGUAAAAGGCAGUGGCUCAACCAUUGUAUGCAUUGGAAACUGGUAGACUUGAGUGCAGGAGAGGAGAGUGGAAUUCCUAGUGUAGCGGUGAAAUGCGUAGAUAUUAGGAGGAACACCAGUUGCGAAGGCGGCUCUCUGGACUGUAACUGACACUGAGGCACGAAAGCGUGGGGAGCAAACAGG